GCCGCCUCCGUCGUCCACAUGCUCCUCCUCACGACCAUGAAAGUUGGCUGAGGUCUAGCCUCCCAUCCAUACGCAGUUUUUCAGAUUAUGCAAGUAUAUGCUUGGUCUGCAUAUUAGUACCGGCUAGCAAGCACAGGAACGACGACUUGGAUCUAAUGACUUGAUAUUCCAAUCCACCGAGAAAUCAGUUUUGACUCAAAAUGAUGCAUGCCUGAACCAUGAGCAUUAUUUGUUUGUCCGCUAAGCAAAUUGUGUCUGGAUGCAGAAAGUGAAAGCAUCAGAUUGAGUGAUUCAGAUCAAUUCUUGCGUUGUAUGCCUUUAGCACAAAGAAGAUGCUUCUGGCCUACUACAUGAACUCGUUCUUGCCGACUUUAUCCUCUGUUUAUUUGCUCCGCGAGGUUGUUUGUUGGUUCGUGGGACGUCUGUGUCGUUAACCAACAAGGUUUCCGAUUUCCUUUUGUUCUACAGGCGUUGUUAUCAUUACUUCCUCUCCCCUCGCUGGCUCGUCAUCUGCUUGCUAUCAAGCUUUGUGCUUCCUGUUUGACCUUUGUCUUCUCAUACUGCUGUAGUACUACCAAGGCACGGUUGAUCUUCUAUGGUCUUCGAAGCAUGACUUUAACUACUGAUACAUACACAACUAGAUGGAUUGGACAUUUAUGAAUGUCAUCAUUGUAUUUAUCUUACAAAAUGCGUGAAUCUAACUAAUUACAAGUGAAAACAUUUCUUGCCAUCGAAACGGAAUGGUAGUUUCCCCUGCAUUGUGAUAAUUAAUUUACAUCUGCAUUAUAGUAAGCUCGAAAUCCGAUAAAGUGUCAUCAGAAAUGAGCAUGGAUUAGUUUAUGAAUAAGAAAGCUUUCUUACUCCAGUGGAGCUUAGUGUCGCAGCAAUAUCUCGGUUUUGCUUCUCCGCAAGAACUCUAACUAUAUGUAAUAGUGCUAUAACUUUCAUCAUCGCAUAAAGUACAU